rnacentral:rRNA from 1 species
UACGGGGGGUGCGAGCGUUGUCCGGAAUCACUGGGCGUAAAGGGCGCGUAGGUGGUCUUAUAAGGGUGUGGUGAAAGCCCGGGGCUUAACCCCGGGUCGGCCGUGCCGACUGUAAGACUAGAGUGCUGUAGGGGCAGGCGGAAUUCCGGGUGUAGCGGUGGAAUGCGUAGAGAUCCGGAAGAACACCGGUGGCGAAGGCGGCCUGCUGGGCAGUUGCUGACACUGAGGCGCGACAGCGUGGGGAGCAAACAGG